rnacentral:lncRNA from 1 species
CCCAGGCCCUCCCAUGACUACAGCCACUACUACGGGACCAUCGAGUACCUGUGCUACAAGAUUCUUGGUGACAUCAUUGAGAAUUCCAGGAUUGUCCUGCAGAUCAACAAUGCCUGUCUGGCUGCAGAUGACUUCUGAACUAAGUAUGAGAGGGAGCAGACUCUGCUCGUGAGUGUGGAGGCUGACAUAAUGGCCUGCACGGGGUGCUGGUUGAGCUGACCCUGGCCAGGACCGACCUGGAGAUGCAGACCGAAGGGCUGAAGGAAGAGCUGGCCUACCUGAAGAAGAACCAUGAGGGGGAAAUUAAUGCCCUGAGGGGCCAGGUGGGAGGCCAGAUCAGUGUGGAAGUGGAUUCGGCUCUGGGCGCUGAUGCCACCAAUAUCCUGAGUGACAUGCAGAGCCAAUAUGAGGUCAUGCCAAGCAGAACCGAAAGGAUGCUGAACGCUGGUUCACCAGCUGCACUGAGGAACUGAACUGGGAAGUUGUUGGCCACAUGGAGCAGCUCCAGAUGAACAGGUCCCAGGUCACCGACCUGCGGUGCAACCUCCAGGGUCUUGAGAUUGAGCUGCAGUGGCAGCUUAGCAUGAAAGCCGCCUUGGAAGGUCACCAGCACGCUUUGGACCACAGCUGGCGCAGAUCCAGGCGCUGAUCAGCAGUAUUGAAGCUCAGCUGGGCGAUGUGCGAGCUGACAGUGAGAGGCAGAAUCAGGAGUACCAGCUGCUCAUGGACAUCAAGUUGUGGCUGGAGCAGGAGCUCGCCACCUACCUCAGCCUGCUCGAGGGCCAGGAAGAGCACUACAAUAGCCUGUCCACCUCCAAGAUCCUCUAA